UACGUAGGGUGCGAGCGUUGUCCGGAAUUAUUGGGCGUAAAGAGCUUGUAGGCGGUCUGUCGCGUCUGCUGUGAAAAUCCGGGGCUCAACCCCGGACUUGCAGUGGGUACGGGCAGACUAGAGUGUGGUAGGGGAGACUGGAAUUCCUGGUGUAGCGGUGAAAUGCGCAGAUAUCAGGAGGAACACCGAUGGCGAAGGCAGGUCUCUGGGCCACUACUGACGCUGGAGAAGCGGAAAAGCGUGGGGAGCGAACAGG
rnacentral:rRNA from 1 species